CUGACCACUUUCACUGGGCACUGGCGAAAGUUUGAAGUCGGCCUACGUUCCUAUUUGUCGGUUAAUUUUUUAUAACUUGUUCUGUUUUCUUGCAACUUUACAGUCAUCACAUAUAUCUUCAAACUUUUGAAGUUGUUUUUUUUGUACUCCGUCGCAGCCGACUCUGGAAAAAUCACAUAUGGUUCUUUUCUUGUACGUUUGUUGAAGUUUUUUUGUUAGCGUUUUGUUGCAGCCGAGUCUGGGCAAGCCUCCUUUUGUUCAUUAUUAUUAUUUACUGUUCGUGUCCACUGCAAUAUCAUCUGGAUAUAUCCUUUAACUGUUGGCUCAUGGUUAUUGAGAGUACAGCAUUCAAUCAGCAUUAGUAUUAUUUGGUUUUUGAUCUCAGUCGUUGUGUGGUUAGCGGUUUUGAAGCAAAUGUGCGAAUCAUACCUGUUUUUUCUUAUAUUUUAUAAUUGUUUAACUAUGGAUCACGGCAUUGCUCAACCCAUAACCAUACCUAGCAGAGAUCUUGCAACGUUUUGUAAUUGGUACUAUUAUUAUGUGAAAAUUUAACCAAAUUGGCAAUUUAUAUACCAAUU